rnacentral:rRNA from 1 species
AGCAGCCGCGGUAAUUCCAGCUCCAAUGGCGUAUAUUAAAGUUGCUGCAGUUAAAAAGCUCGUAGUUGAAUUUCGGGACCAUCAUGUCGGUCGUGCCUCGGUACGUACUGGUAUUGUUGGUUUCUCCCUUCUGACGAACCAUGAUGUCAUUUAUUUGGUGUUGUGGGGAAUCAGGACUGUUACUUUGAAAAAAUUAGAGUGUUUAAAGCAGGCAUUUUUGCUUGAAUACAUUAGCAUGGAAUAAUAAAAUAGGACGGCAUGGUUCUAUUUUGUUGGUUUCUAGGACCACCGUAAUGAUUAAUAGGGAUAGUUGGGGGCAUUAGUAUUCAAUUGUCAGAGGUGAAAUUCUUGGAUUUCUGAAAGACUAACUACUGCGAAAGCAUUUGCCAAGGAUGUUUUCAUUAAUCAAGAACGAAAGUUAGGGGAUCGAAGACGAUCAGAUACCGGUCGUAGUCUUAACCAUAAACUAUGCCGACUAGGGAUCGGAUGAUGUU